CAUUGCAGGUGGUUACUGAGGUCAGGCGUAAUUGGCGCUAUGAAGGGAGAGUGAAGGGAGCUGGUGGCACAUCUGCACAAGGGGAGAGGCCCCCAGGACAUGCUCUUGGACUCGGACGGAGAGGUAGGAUCAGCCAGCGCAGGCCUGAUUGGAGCACCGUGCUCAGAGGGACGCGCGGUCCCUGAAGUGCGCCAAGUGCCCUCUCAUGGAUUCUUGGCCAGCGUGGAAUCUGUACGUGCGUGUAUGAGCCGGGGAAGUGGUGAAGAAACGUCUUAAAGAAAUUCUUACAAAACUGUUCCUCCCAAACUGAUCUCCUGACCAUGACAAUGAGAACCCUCCUUAACCUCUUCUCCUUGUGCAUGUGUAAUGGUGAGAAUUGUAAGGUGUGCACCUGUUUUAGGUGAAGUGCGCCCCCAUCAACCUGCUGAUGGAGACCACCAUUGUCCAGGCCCGCCCCAUGAGAGCUUGGCGAGCCGGCUCCUGGCCCAGCUCUAACCCCUGCUUCUUCAUGUGAGGUCACGCUGCCAGGAGUGCUGGGGUUUCUGGGGCACAUCCCUGGUCAGAUGCAAGUUGAGAAGAUGCCUUUGAGUGGACCCCCGCAGUGUGCUCGCAGCAGCAAAUUGCCAGAAAGCAAGUGCAGGAGGAGGUGGCAGCGGACUGGGCGGUGAUGGUCAUGUCAGGUUGUGAGGUAAUUGUAGAGCACGUUGAUGGAGAUGGUGAGGUCCCCGUUGUUGAAGGGGUACGACCUGUUCCAGCCCUGGGCACCGAACUUGCGCCUCUCGGCCACCACGGCAUGGAAGUAGCACAGGGCGAAGAGAAUGCACUUGAACUCCAUCUCUUUGGAGCACAUCUCCAGGGUGUCCUGGGGGUGACAUGUUCUGUGUUGAGUGUUAACAAGAGGAAGCGGGA